GCUAGUAAUCGCGGAUCAGCAUGCCGCGGUGAAUACCGUUCCCGGGCCUUGUACACACCGCCCGUCACACCAUGAGAGUCGGGAACACCCGAAGUCCGUAGCCUAACCGCAAGGGGGGCGCGGCCGAAGGUGGGUUCGAUAAUUGGGGUGAAGUCGUAACAAGGUAGC
rnacentral:rRNA from 1 species